UUUAAUUGUUUAAUAAUAUAUCAAUAAUUUCAUUUCAGAAUGGGGCCUAUGUUGCAAGCUAUGUAGAGACCCUGUUCUCCAAAACAAAUACCAAACUUAAUGACGACUAUACAGAUACACCAUAUUAUAAACUUCUUUGUUUUCUUGCUAUGUUAAGAAAUUCGGCCGUGGAAAAAGUAUCGAGGUUUCUAGAAAGCAUGGAAAGAAAAGAGAUUUACUUUCGGGUCGACACGUAUAUCAACUUUUUAAAGUUAUUGGUUUAUGGUAAUGCCGUUGAUGCAUAUUCAGUGGAACUUCUCAAACAAUUUGAAAUCGGUUUAUUUCCAUUGGACUCACGUG